AAAAAGCUCCAGGUCAGCCAGGGCUACAUAGUAAGGUACUGUGUCAAAGAACAAAGAACAAUUCUACGGGUAGAGUCACAUCGUCAGGGUACGAGGUAAGAGCUCAGUGGCUCAGCCAGCUCAUGGCCCUGAAUACUGAACUCCUAAGAAGUGCUAACAUCUGCUGCUUGUCCUGAGGGCCACACUGUGAGAGCCCCUGUCCCAAGCCUGACUGGCUGAUUUCUCAAGUCAGAAGACAGGGAGAGGGCUGCCAGGAGAAUACACCCCAAAGCAGGCCACACCCUGUCCAUCCUAGAGAGCUCACCAACAAUGACAGACACUCGGGGAGGGAGCAGGUGUGGAGUCAGAGAUCAACCAGAGACUUUACACACAGCACAGGGCUCUGUUUCUGGCUAGUGACCUCUGCUUGGCCUUGUAUUUUCGCUGUCAGGGCUACGAUGUAACCAGAGGGACUCCUCUCACCCUCAGAUGGAGUGACAUAGUUUGAGGGGUUUGAGAAAAUUACAGGGUUAACAGAAGGGGCCAUGGUGAUGCUGAAAUUUUGGUGAUUGGCUUCAAAUGUAUCCAGGCUUACCCUAAGUACAAUCAGGGUGUCCCACCGAUAGUGUGAUGGAGCCUACGGGACACUAGAGGGCGCGCUGAGCUCGCGGAAGCCGCAGUCCAGGGCCCCGCAGAAUCCCUUGCAGUGUGGAGCGACUUCCCAGUACAAUGUGAUCCCUUGGUAAGCUCACUGAAACCGAGCAAACAAAGAGAAGUUGCCUUGGAGAGGCUGGAGACAAUGGAGACCUCCCCUCCCCAGCCCGAGUGACCUUGAGGAGAACGACUUCCCAGAGGAAUGUGGCCUGAAGCCAGAACCAGAACAAAGUGGCCUGAGGUGAGAGAGGAAGAAAGGUGCCCUUAGGUGACUGAGACUGCGUGGAAGCUGGACAGGGCUGGGCUUUCUUCUUUAUCUCUGGUACCUAGACAAGGGACUUCCCAUUGGCUUGGCUCCUUCAGCCUCCAGAGAGUCAAACUCCUCUUGCAGUCCUAGCUCCUUAUGAAAAACUGACAUGCUUUGGCCCAGUUUCCGACUUGUGCAAUCCUGGGAAAUGUUAAAGGGUUAGCUAGCCCUCGCCUCACAUUUUGGGGUACUGUUUCUUACAAUGUGUGAUUUUAAAAAAAUUUCUUUUUGGUCCAAUAGAUUUUCCAGGCUGAGCAAGGCUUCUUUCUCCCCUCCCUACUGGUCUUUAGAGGCAAGCCAAGAAGAAAAGGAGGUGGAGAGAGACCAGCCAGGCAGCUCACCCCCAACACAGGCACCCUCGAGGACUGUGGCUGGGGGGCCAGGGGCAGUUUCCUUGAAGGCACUGCUGUGGCAUACAGAAAGGGGAUGGGGGCCUAUGAUGGGGCCAUAGGCAAUAAACCCACCAAGGGACUCUGAAAUAGGUAAGGUACAAUGCUGAGUGACAGGGGACCAUCACUGAGCCAGACCCUGCAUCACCAAAGCUAAGAAAGGGACCAGACAGACUCGAAGUGAAGUCCAGAUACUAAGACCCUAGCUGCGCGGCUGGAAGGUGCCCUGUCCUGCCCGUCCUUCCUCUGGGCCAAGGCACAAGCCCUGUGUCUUGGGUCUACUCUCUUGACUCCCUCUCUCCCUACCCCAUGCCCAAGUGGGGACGCACAAAAGAUUCUGGGAACCUUUCCCCACCCCACCCCACCCCCAACCCUUGAGGCAGGGUUUCUCUGUGUGUCCCUGGCUAUCCUGGGGCUCACUCUGUAGAUGGAGCUGGCCUUGAACUCAGAGAUCCUCCUGCCUCUGCCUCCCAAAUGCUAGGGUUACACUAUGCCGGGAGGAUUCUAGAGCCCAACCCUCCCAGAGGGAUUUGAUCUCUCCUUUUGUUCUCCACCACAGUGAUGCAAUUGCUAAACAAUAAAAUGAUUUUUUAAUCAGCA